rnacentral:pre_miRNA from 1 species
CCUGGGAGGUGUGAUAUCGUGGUUCCUGGGAGGUGUGAUCCUGUGCUCCAUGGGGGGUCUGAUCCCGUGCUUCCUGGG